rnacentral:rRNA from 1 species
AGAGUUUGAUCCUGGCUUAGGACGAACGCUGGCGGCGUGCCUAACACAUGCAAGUCGAGCGAAGAUUAUAGCAAUGUAAUCUUAGCGGCGGACGGGUGAGUAACGCGUGGGCAACCUACCUCAAACUGGGGGAUAACACAGGGAAACUUGUGCUAAUACCGCAUAACAUCAUGAAAUGACAUCAUUUUAUGAUCAAAGGAGCAAUCCGGUGAGAGAUGGGCCCGCGUCCAAUUAGCUAGUUGGUGGUGUAACGGACCACCAAGGCGACGAUUGGUAGCCGAACUGAGAGGUUGAUCGGCCACAGUGGACUGAGACACGGCCCAGACUCCGUACGGGAGGCAGCAGGUGGGGAAUAUUGCGCAAUGGGGAAACCCUGACGCCAGCAACGCCGCGUGAAGGAUGAAGGUUUUCGGAUCGUAAACUUCUUUGAUGAGGGACGAAAGCAAUGACGGUACCUCAAAACAAGCCACGGCUAACUACGUGCCAGCCGCAGC